UACGAAGGGGGCUAGCGUUGCUCGGAAUUACUGGGCGUAAAGCGCACGUAGGCGGCUUCUUAAGUCGGUGGUGAAAUCCUGGAGCUCAACUCCAGAACUGCCUUCGAUACUGGGAGCUCGAGUCCGGGAGAGGUGAGUGGAACUGCGAGUGUAGAGGUGAAAUUCGUAGAUAUUCGCAAGAACACCAGUGGCGAAGGCGGCUCACUGGCCCGGUACUGACGCUGAGGUGCGAAAAGCGUGGGGGAGCAAACAGGGAU
rnacentral:rRNA from 1 species